UACAGAGGGUGCGAGCGUUAAUCGGAAUUACUGGGCGUAAAGCGUGCGCAGGCGGUUUGGUAAGACAGAUGUGAAAUCCCCGGGCUUAACCUGGGAAUUGCAUUUGUGACUGCCCGGCUAGAGUGUGUCAGAGGGGGGUAGAAUUCCACGUGUAGCAGUGAAAUGCGUAGAUAUGUGGAGGAAUACCGAUGGCGAAGGCAGCCCCCUGGGAUAACACUGACGCUCAUGCACGAAAGCGUGGGGAGCAAACAGG
rnacentral:rRNA from 1 species